GCUGCCAAAGGAUAAAAGUAAUCCAUUGGCCUUAGGCGCCAAAAACUCUUGGUGCAACUCCAAGUGGCAGCU
rnacentral:tRNA from 2 species